GACGAGGGAUCCUAGCGUUGUUCGGAAUCAUUGGGCGUAAAGCGGAUGUAGGUGGCUUUGUAAGUCAGGUGUGAAAGCCCAGGGCUCAACCCUGGAAGUGCAUUUGAUACUGCGAAGCUUGAGUGCUGGAGAGGCUACUAGAAUACCUGGUGUAGUGGUGAAAUACGUAGAUAUCAGGUGGAAUACCGGAGGCGAAGGCGGGUAGCCAGCCAGACACUGACACUCAGAUCCGAAAGUGUGGGGAGUCAAACAGG
rnacentral:rRNA from 1 species